AACGAACGCUGGCGGCAGGCUUAACACAUGCAAGUCGAACGCCCCGCAAGGGGAGUGGCAGACGGGUGAGUAACGCGUGGGAACGUACCUUUCAGUUCGGAAUAACUCAGGGAAACUUGUGCUAAUACCGGAUACGCCCGCAAGGGGAAAGAUUUAUCGCUGAAAGAUCGGCCCGCGUUGGAUUAGCUAGUUGGUGGGGUAAAGGCCUACCAAGGCGACGAUCCAUAGCUGGUCUGAGAGGAUGAUCAGCCACACUGGGACUGAGACACGGCCCAGACUCCUACGGGAGGCAGCAGUGGGGAAUAUUGGACAAUGGGCGCAAGCCUGAUCCAGCCAUGCCGCGUGAGUGAUGAAGGCCUUCGGGUUGUAAACUGCUUUUGUACGGAACGAAAGGGCUCUGGUUAAUACCUGGGGCAUAUGACGGUACCGUAAGAAUAAGCACCGGCUAACUACGUG
rnacentral:rRNA from 1 species